rnacentral:misc_RNA from 1 species
GAUGAAGAACGUAGCGAAAUGCGAUAAGUAGUGUGAAUUGCAGAAUUCAGUGAAUCAUCGAAUCUUUGAACGCACAUUGCGCCCCUUGGUAUUCCAUGGGGCAUGCCUGUUCGAGCGUCAUUUGUACCUUCAAGCUCUGCUUGGUGCUGGGUGUUUGUCUCGCCUCUGCGUGUAGACUCGCCUCAAAACAAUUGGCAGCCGGCGUAUUGAUUUCGGAGCGCAGUACAUCUCGCGCUUUGCACUCAUAACGACGACGUCCAAAAGUACAUUUUUACACUCUUGACCUCGGAUCAGGUAGGGAUACCCGCUGAACUUAAGCAUAUCAAUAAGCGGAGGA